GGGGCUGUGUGCCCGGGACACCCGGCCAGGGUCAGCGCACGGCUGUCCUCCGCCGCUUCGCCUCCCAACCUGCCGGCCUGGCAGGCUGCGUAGGAGUCUUAUGCGUUUGGAGAAAACUGACCACGGAGACAGCCGGGCACUGCACAGUGGCUGUGGCGGUCAGUCCAGGGGUGAUAAGGCGACUGCUGAGGUUCCACGGGGAAAACCUGCAUCGCCAUCGGCCGUCGGAGGAGAGGGCUAAGUGACUAUAGGAGACCAACCCUCCCUAUCGGAUACAGGAAUUCAGGUGAAACACAAGAAGUAGGGCUUCCACAGCCACCCAAAUUUAAACUGGGAAACAGAACCCACCCUUUCUCCAUCUGAGUGCAGAGCAAGUGCUACGAACACAGAAGGCAAUGUUUACACUGAAAUUACCUGCAAUCAUCUGAAAAAUCCAAAAGAUAACUCUUAAGAAUUCAUCUGAAAUAGAAAGUGAGCAUUGAUAUUUAAUGAAAUAACAUAUCAGCAAGACAUCUCUCAGCUACUUGUAAGUAUUUAACUAU